UCUCUUCUCUUUCCCUCUUUUCUAGUUCUAACUCAACUCAUCAACGCAUGUCUCUGCUCGAUCGCCGGUAGGGGUAUAACUUUUGUGCAAAGACUGCAUCUCUCUGAGGUUCUCGGUCCAUAAUCAUGAUUUGGUAAUUUCUUGUUUCACAUUGACGUUCAUUAUCAGUGGCGGGAUUGCAUGAAGGAAUGGAUGGGUUCUAUUUAGCCUGCAAAAUACGCCCAUAUUUUCCCAUCCGGCUAGCAGAGGUAGGAGCUACGAGGAAAGCUGAAGCAUCGGGAGCAGAGGUGGGGAUGACAAUAGAGCAAGCAAUAACUGAUCUUGAAGCCAUAGCCCAAGCUGGGUCAAAUCCAUUUUUCAAGGGGUUUAGAGAUCGAUGCCAUAGCCCAAGCUGGGUCAAAUCAGAUUAUGGAGUCGACAAGUAUGGCAUUGGCAUUGGGUUUGGACACUUUGCAAUUGCAAUUGAAGAUGUAUAUUAAUAGUGUUGGACUAGCUGGAGAGAUUCCAAGUACCUUCAGAAAUCUACAGAAAUUGAAGAAAGCGUGAGAUUCUGCUAUAAAUCUUCACAACCUGUGUUCUUUAUGUUAGAAUUACAAACAUCAUAAUAUGUUCCAACCAUUGAGAGUGUAGACAUCCUUAUUUUUGUUUUGUCUUAGAGAUGGGCAUUUGAUAAUCUGUUUUCAAUUGCAUAGAAUCGAGAAUUAACAAUUA